GAUGAACGCUGGCGGCGUGCUUAACACAUGCAAGUCGAACGGUGAAGGCGGAGCUUGCUCUGCUGGAUCAGUGGCGAACGGGUGAGUAACACGUGAGCAAUCUGCCCCUGACUCUGGGAUAAGCGCUGGAAACGGCGUCUAAUACUGGAUACGAGCUGCGAAGGCAUCUUCAGCAGCUGGAAAGAACUUCGGUCCGGGAUGAGCUCGCGGCCUAUCAGCUUGUUGGUGAGGUAACGGCUCACCAAGGCGUCGACGGGUAGCCGGCCUGAGAGGGUGACCGGCCACACUGGGACUGAGACACGGCCCAGAAUCCUACGGGACGCAGCAGUGGGGAAUAUUGCACAAUGGGCGAAAGCCUGAUGCAGCAACGCCGCGUGAGGGACGACGGCCUUCGGGUUGUAAACCUCUUUGAGCAGGGAAGAAGCGAAAGUGACGGUACCUGCAGAAAAAGCGCCGGCUAACUACGUG
rnacentral:rRNA from 1 species